rnacentral:rRNA from 1 species
AUUGAACGCUGGCGGCAGGCCUAACACAUGCAAGUCGAACGAGUGGCGGACGGGUGUGUAAUGUCUGGGAAACUGCCUGAUGGAGGGGGAUAACGUCCGGAAACGGGCGCUAAUACCGCAUACCAUCGGAUGUGCCCAGAUGGGAUUAGCUAGUAGGUGGGGUAAAGGCUCACCUAGGCGACGAUCCCUAGCUGGUCUGAGAGGAUGACCAGCCACCCUGAAGCUGAGACACGGUCCAGCAUCCUACGGGGGGCAGCAUUGGGGAAUAUUGCACAAGGGGAGAAAGCCUGAUGCAGCCAUGCCGCGGGUAUGAAGAAGGCCUUCGGGUUGUAAAGUACUUUCAGCGGGGAGGCGUUACCCGCAGAAGAAGCACCGGCUAACUCCGUGCCAGCCGCCGCGGUAAUAC